CCGCCAAAAGAAAAGAAAAAAAAAAGGAAAUUAAAAAAUUGGCCAUUUACAUGGCCUUAGGCUAGGGUUGAUCUAACACAAGUAUUUUUCGGGGACUAUUCAGUAAAGAACUGUGGGAGUUAUGAUGUACCGAAGGCGAAGAAAAGAAAAGCAAUUUUUUUUUACUUUUUGGGGGGUACCCCCCCUCCUAUGGGGGAGCGAGGUCAUAAUUAUAUAUGAAACGAAGCGCAAUUCUAUACUCUAUAUCAUGCAAAAAGAAUCAAUCAGUUAUCUCUAACCGAUAUUUUUUUAUGAUGUAAUUCGAGUAGAGAAAGGUGGUCAUUUCCCAGGACAGUACCCUUAAGCCUUAUAUAUUUGUCACUUUUAUUUGGUAAGAAAUAACUAACCCUAGCAAUCUUAUCAGGGAUUAUAAAGUAUGACAUCAUAAAGCAGUUGACAAAUAUUUGGUCUUUUUUCUUUUUUUCUUUUUUUUAUAAAAACUUUGAUAUUGUCCUUCCCAUAGGAGGAAUGACUUCCCACUUGGUGCCUUCCUGGAGUGCUGCUGCUUCAGCCCGACAUACACCUGUCCGUACUGUGAGUGUUCAGUGGCUAUGGUUGAUCACAGUUUGUCCAUGAUACUGGCUGUGUGGAAGUACUCCUCUGAUACCUUGACACCAAUUUGGAUUUCACAGAUGCUAGGACAAUCCUCAUGUGGAGCUGGUGUAAGACCUGUCAGGAGGUAACCUCCAUGGUACCGAUCUCUUUGGAAACCUGGUCCCUAUCCCUUGCCAAGUACCUGGAGCUGCAAUUCUAUGGUGGGAGCUUCAACAGGAGAGGAAUGCAAGGGUGCACACACUCCCUGCACCAUGACCACUUCCAAUACUUUGGCUAAAAGAACCAAGUGGCAUUGUUCAAGUACAGUAACAUAACUUUACAAGAAGUUGCUCUGCCACCAUUCAAGAUGAGUUUGUGCAUCCCGGUAAUCACUCAAGCCUCAGUUGUAGAACUCGUCAGAGGUGUAGCUAUGCCGGGGUACUCUGCUUUCUCCACAAUCUUGGAACGUGUGACUUCUAUGUCAUCUGAGUGUGGAAGUCGCUGGGAACCUUUUCUGAUUGAAAUCAAUAAAAUAAGUGAACACCAGAAUGGCCAAAGAGCAUGGUUUCGUGAAAAAAUUGAAGCUUCAAUUAACUUCACCAACUUUAGAAGCUCAGUGAUUGCACCCACCAACCCCAAACACUACCCAAGAAGUUACUGCCACCAUGCUUGCCAUCACUGAUAAAGUUGUUCUUAUCAAGAAACUUGUUGCGCAAGGAAUGCUAAGGUUCAAGACCUCUUGCACCUUCACAAAAAGGAGGAGAAAUUAGAGAAAGCAAAGGUUAUGGCUUCAGCUAGUAGGGAAAUGCCAGGAUUGCCAUGACAGUCUACCAGUGCUUCCAGCUCCACUUCCUCUGCAGCCUCUGCUCAUGCAACAUCAUGAACUGGAGAAAUGUUCAGUUCCCCUUCACAUAAGCAAGGUUGUGAUACUGCAUCAAUAGCAUCAUUGGCAGCACUCACUGGUGUUUCCACAGAUUCUCUAAGGACAAGAUGGACAAAAAAUGAUAUUUUUUGACGACAACCCAAGGAUCAACUACCACCCCCUUUAUGAUUGUGCUGCAGUUUUUUGCUGGUGAAAUUUGGGAUCUUGUUGUCAUGCAAACUUGUGGAUGCUUCCAGGACACGUCACUAGUCAACAAUACUGUUGAUAGCAGUCCCAGAAGAUAUGCAGGGGACAGCACCAAGCUUAGUGCUGUCGCCAGAGCUAUCAACCAUAACAGUACCCACUCAGGGUAAAGUAAUGAUCCCUGCUCUGAGAGAAUUAUGCCUCCGCUACAAGCUCAAGACGAUUUUCUUCAACUACAUAACAUGCACCUCAUUACCCUCUCACCUAUGUAAGCUAAUAGAGUUGGGACCAAUAGCCAACUGCGAGUCUCCCAAAGUGCUGUCAAUUACAGUCACUGCAUGGCUCUACAUAGAAGGAAAUAUUGUUUCCUCAGUUGUUUAUUUCUGUUCUGAUCAGUGUGCUAAGACAUAUGUACAAGAAGUGGUGGAUGAAUUCUCCAUUUGGUUCCAAAACAGAUUAGAGCAAGCGUGCAAUGUUAUUCUUAAUUGAAUUCAUGCAGUUUUUUGGUAAUAAUUUCUGUUAAAGUGCAGUUAUUCCAUGCUACAUCAGCAUUCCUAAGCACCUUGAAUUGCUAGAUCAUUAUUGAAAUAUCUAAUGGGUAAACUAGUAAUAUAUGAGCUAUUCUGUGAUUAAUGUUAUGUGUUAAAUCUUUAAGGGGGAUAAUGGCUGAUGGUAGGUUUCUUUCUCUCCAAGUGAUUUGAAGUUUAACAGUAUAUUCUUGAAUGAUUUUGUAGAUGUGUUAAAUGUGCUCUCAGGGGAAAUGUUUUAUGGUUUGCUAUUUGAUAAAAUGGAAAUUGUAUAAAGGGAUUAACUAAGACUUUAUGAGAUGUCAUGGAAAUUCAGAGUUAUGCUGUCAUUGAAGAUAGGCAUUAGAUUCAUAGGAUAAAUUCAUUUAAGAAAUGUUAACUUCUGUUUAUUGCAAACCACUAGUACUCUUCACUUCCCAAAAGUAGUUAAUAAACAUAUCAAGAACAUAAAGUGAUAUGGUCAAAUGUCAACAUUUCACACUGAAAUGGGGAACUCAUGUCCCACAAUGCAGACAAUCCAAUUUUGUCUUCUAGCAUGUAACUUACACAACCCAUAUCCUUGCACUAUUAAGUCUCAGUAGCAUAUCUUCUAGUGGUAGCAAUCUCUUGACAAUCUCUUAUUUUCCAACUAUAUUUUCUUUCAUAAGUACAUUCCUCUUUAAAUUAUUAUUCCAUGAUGUUGAUUUUACUUACAAAAUAUCAUUGCUUAGAGAGAUUCACAAUUAGGAGAGUUUCAUUAAUCUAAUUUUAUUCUUCAACAUUAUUUUGUAGGAAAAUACAUAUCAUUAUAUAUAGUAGAAGGAAAUAUAAUCAUGUUUAAAGGAUUGUAUAUAAACUCCUUUGUCUCUGAAAAAAUACUUCCCUUCCAUUUUUCUGUUUGCAAUAGUUGAUCUCUAUGAUAUAUUAAUUGAAUAGGUGCUUUUUUUAUUUCAGAGGAAAAAAAGUCCCAGUAUCUAUAUUCUCUAGGUAAUAAAAUGUGCCGAAUGCCAGAGAAAUCUUUAAUAUUGUAAAUGUAAGCUUUGAUUUUAAGGCUUUAUAAUAUAUAAAUAUGCUUAGAAAACAUAACCUCAUCCCCUUAAGUACUAGUGGUUGUCACUGUGUCCUUUAGGGGGAUGACUUAACACAGUCUUGGGAAGUGUAUUUUAAGUAUAUCAAGUAUUCUGCCUGUAUUUUUGGAAGAAGGAAAGUUAGGAUUGUGGAAACAUGUUUAAGAUACAAGAAAUCUCAUGGGUGUAGAAAGAGAAAGAUAUAGUGUGUAUUACAGUAUAUCAUGAUGUUUGCAUAUUACUCUGUAGAAACUGCCUGAGUUUUUAAGUGUUUCAUGGACUUUGUUAUCAUAGAGCACCUGAAUAUGGUAUGGGCCUUUAUGACAUAAGAAACAGCAAUAUACACAUUCAUCUAUGCA
rnacentral:lncRNA from 1 species